AUAAGAAACAUGGGUAGCCAUUGACCAAUGAAUCAAUGAGUCAAAUGAGAAAGUUCAGAAAAACUUUCGCAAAGAAAACAAAAAUAACAAUUUUAUUCCACAUUUUCAUCUCUACUGUGUCACUUGUGGAUGUGUGUUCAUGACAGUACUAUGACACAAGCCUGUGGUGGUGUCGGCGCUGACCAAGAUCCGGCUUGAUGACAUUGAAUACAAGGCACAAGGCACGUGGCAGAAUGAAAGCGAGCAGCGCAUCUCUCCUGCCGAUUACCUCCAUCUCUCCAACUGUGCCAAAGUGACUGAAAGAGGGAAGAGUCAUCUGCCUCCCGCGGUCUGCCAACACACAGACCACCAUGGGAAGUGAGGGAGCGAAAAAGAAAGAGGAAGAAAAAGAUAACUGGAGAGAUUGGACAGUCGGGAGCUUUUGAAGAGAAGAAAGACCGAAUUCUGCCCCAAGAACAGCGAUAACGGACAUGGGGUCCCACUGGGGGAUGGGCCGGAGGGGU
ensembl:lncRNA